CCAUCUCGCACAUGCGCAGUACAGAUCGGUAGUGACCAUGGUAGUGACAGAGGUAAUCGUCGUAACCAGCAGUCUUCAUCCGCCUCUAUCCAGUCUUUGACACUUGGAAAACGAGCACAUGUGAUACUGAGCGCCAUGGCUGAUAUUGAACCACCUGUUCGAUUGCUGAUCAUCUUGAACGACCACAACAGCGUCAGACUGGAGCUUCGAAAUGAGAUUCCCAACUCAAUGGAAGAGCUCAUUGAGGAGGUCAAGAAUUCAUGUGGAUUGGAAGAUUACAUAAGGCUACAGUAUAAAGACACUGAUUUUUGGAACACAUUUGUUAAUCUUACAUCUACACAUGCGAUUAAAGAUUUAACAGUUAUCAAAGUUGUCGAAUUAGACCCCGAUUCUACAACUGUGGUCUUGUACCCAGUUGAGAUACCAUUAAAUAGUACCCCUACAAGUGGACUGUACAGUGAAGACUCCUCUGGAUCUGUGAAUACAGAUGACACAGUACUACUUAGCGGCUCUUCCUCAGAAUCAUUAAGAACACAGCAGUGGCCUAAAGUGUUUCCAAUCCCGGUCUUCUCCUAUGACACAGAAUGUCAAUUACAGAGAGGAAAUGCAGAGUACACAAAGAACCAAUCUAGACUGACACCAAGCUCAAAUCAUCUGCAGAGCUUGCUGUGAACUCGUUGAAGACCAAGUCUCAAGAAGAGUCCUACCCUGCGAAGAAUUUUAAAGAGAGCCAGGCGAGCUGAGGCCAACCAUUUUCCAUCCUUGCCGAUUGGUGAGACUCCAGAAAGCAUGGAGCAAGAGACGAUUUCUCUUUUGGCAGAACAACAGAAAAGAAACAACCAGCAAUCAAUAAAAGAAAAGAUGGCGAAGGCGUUUGGAUACUGAAGACAAGAAAUAGUGCAUCGGAGGCCAAGCAUUGAAGGCCUCUUGGAGCGGUGGCACUUUUUCACAUGGAAGAGGUAAAUGCUGAUUUCAUAACAACAAUUCCAUUAGAGACAAAGUUCUUGGCGCAGUUGGACAAACACUCAGGUCAUCAGGAGCAGGGGAGGAGUUGUGAAACAGAAGACCACCGGGAUCUUGCAGGUUUUGGAUGAGACUGUGGACAUCGCCAUCAGAAGAGAAUGCAUCCUCAAAUCUCUAAUGAUCUACUUGGGUGAACCUGUUGACCAUCUCAUCAAAGAAUUCCAGGACGCUGAGGCUGGAGAACUGGAGCAGGCAACAAUGGAAGCCUUUGACACUGGGAAAGAGGAUCAGCUUCAUCGACCCAAAGACGUCAAGGUUCUCAUCGAAGGAACAGAGGUCCUCAGCGGCUUGCCCUCGGUUGCGACAGCUUUUGCCAUGCUCUUCGGGCUCAUAUACGCACUGAAAUGGGGCGAAGCCUGCGAGCUAGUUCAGGCAGUCAACUCGAGCACUUAUGCUGCAUUCAUACAUAACGCCCCCUUGCCACUCUACAACCAACCAAACAGAGUCUCCUUAAUAUGCCGCUCUAUUUAACCUGCCAGAUCUCUCUCCAUGCAUUGCUUGCUGCUGCUAUUGCCGCAGCUACCUCUACGUCGCUGCUGCUCGCUGCCCCACCACCACCCCAGCUUCCACCUGUAGGCUCUGGGUUAGUUAUUUAAUCAUCACUCAUCGUGCUAUGUAUAUCUAUGGAGUGAUGAUGCCCGAGCCUAGUCGCCAAACUCAACUAUAUGCUGCUUCUAAUAAACAUGUUAAAGGAACACGUGAGUUGUCUGACUGAACUUAAGAUAUCAGAAAUAACUGCAAUCCACUUUUGAAGUUGUGCAAAAAGUCCUGAUGGAGGGGAAAAAGAUGAGCCCAAAAGUGAAUAGACCGAGAACCCAGCUGGUAGACACUUUGUUUGCACUCACUCACAGUUACCAUUGUUACAUGGUAAGGUUUCUAAAACCAAGGUUUUAUAAUAAUUAUGCAUUGUAAAACAUUUGCGAAAAAGUGUUGUGUUCAGAAGUUGCACUUACAGUAUGACCGAUUUUCACUGUAGAAGUUAUGCAUGUCUAAUCAUUCUCAGAGAUUACAUGUCUCACAGGCGCACGUUGUCAGUGUUGCUUUAAAAAAGUGUGCAGUGGAUAAUAAGGACAUGUCUUUUUUCUAAGAGUUUGAUGUUUGGAAGCGGCCCACAUAUUACCGCAUUUUAACUGUGGUACUUAUUAACAUGUCUAAGAUCAGGUAAUGGCUGCCUCAGAGGCCAAAGCUGGUUGUGUGAACAACUUGUUUUUCAUUCAAAUAAAUGUGCUCUGGUGUUAAAAUAUACAGAUUGAUCUGAAGAAAUUGAGUCAUUGUAAAAUAUUUCGUGUGAUUGAUUACUCUAAUAUUUUUUUGUUGGUACAACGUUUUACUUUUAUUAGUGUACCUUUCAGUUGCAUUGCACUCCUUAAACGUGUUUGAGACACUUUAGAUAAAAAUGUGGCUGUCAUUUGAUUAACUCUGAAAAUACAGAGGUUUUUAUUGAAUAAAUCACCCAAAAAUCACAUGAAUUGAGUUACAGGUGUCCCCUCAGCAGACUUAUUUAAUAAUACGGUAGGAAAUUGUGGAGUAAAGUUAAUAUCUAUCUUGUA